CAGUGGUACAGUACUAAUGGGGAGGGGUUGGUUGGGAGUCAGCUCAGGGGUCUGCACCUGUGUAGUCCCAGCACUUGGGAGGCUGAGGUGAAAGAAUCACUUGAACCCAGGAGUCGGAGCCAACCUGAGCAACAUAGAGAUACUGCAUCACCCCCCCAUCCUGCCAAAAAGGAGAAAGAAGGAUUGAACUCUGGUCCUUGAGCUUGCGAGGCACGUGGUGGGACCACGGAGCUAAAUUCCCAGCCCUGGUGGUAAUUAGGAUAAGAUGCGGUCAUGAGGAUGCGGCCUCGUGACUUCUUCCUGGUUUCAUCCGACGAGAAAGAGAGACCCAAGCUAGCGAGCUUGCUGUGUCUUGCUCUGUGCUGCCAUGGGACUCUUCCGAGUCCCCACCGACAUGAGGCCCUCCACAGAUCUUGAACUUCCCAACUUCCAUCACAGUGAGCCAAAGUGAAUCUGCAGCAGCUCCUGGGUCCACCGUGGAGGAGGUGCUACUGUCACUGUCAGAAGUAACGCAACCCCAGGGCCAAGCCCUGUGCCCAAGAGAUGCUACAGCACUGAGGAAGAGCUGGUGUCCCCUGGCCUCUGUCCUGGUCUCCAGAGUGUAUUGCUCAUCUCACUGAGGGCCAGAUCCUACUCGUGCUCAGCUGGGUUGCCAGUUCUCAUGGAACAAACCAGGAAGUCCCGUGGGCCUCUGAGUGAGGCCUUCCUCCCCACCAAGCACGAGGAUACAAGGUAGAGCAGGCUGCAAAGUGUCCUUCAAAGAAGGCAAUCGGGUCCUGAUUCCUACAGCCUGUACCUGUUACCUGGCUUGGGAAAGGAGGGAUCUUGGGAGGCUAACAGUUUGCAGGAUUACCCAGUGUAAUCACCUGGCCUUUGUCAGAGGGAGGCCAAGGAAGCUUUCACAGGGGGAAGAGAAGGCAGUACAGCCACAGAGGCAGUGCCUGGACUCCCAGCUGCACGGCUCCGGAAGGCUGAUGGCCACUAGCAGCUGGAACAAGAAUGGGAAGGGCUCUCCCCUAGUCCUUUGAAGGGAGUGUGGGCUUCUUGCCUCCAGAAUGGAGAAUAAAUUUCUACUGUUUUAA